AAUGUCAAAUUUCUAGUAUGAGAAAUUAACGAUUUAAGUCCUUCUUAAAUGAGGCCAUUUACCCAUAGAGGGUGCCAGGCCCGUAUAACGUUAAUGAUUACUAGAUGGCAUUUCCAAAGAGUCGUGUUGCUUGAUAGUGCAGCACUAAGUGGGUGGUAAACUCCAUCUAAAACUAAAUAUAACCAUGAGACCGAUAGUAAACAAGUACCGUGAGGGAAAGUUGAAAAGAACUCUGAAUAGAGAGUUAAAUAGUACGUGAAACUGCUUAGAGGUUAAGCCCGAUGAACCUGAAUAUCCAUUAUAGAAAAUUCAUCAUUAUGAUUUUAAUAUUAAUAAUAUUAUAAUAAUGGUGUGCAUUUUUUCUAUAACGGACAUUGUAAUCUAUUAACAUAAAUAUAUUUAUCAUAAGAUCAAUGAUGCGUAAGUUUAUUCAAAUUAUUUUGCUUGCAAUUUAACAUAGAAUAAAUGCUCUUGAUUUGAUAAAGUGUUGAUAGAUUUAUUGUAUAUAGUGCUUAAAUAUUUAUAUUUUAUAAUAGCAUAUUAAUCAUUGAUUUUUAUGUUUAUUAUAUGCACUUAUAUGAUUAACAAUGCGAAAGAUUCAGGAUACCUUCGGGACCCGUCUUGAAACACGGACCAAGGAGUCUAACAUAUUUGCAAGUUAUUGGGUAUCAAAACCUAAUAGCGAAAUUAACAUAACUUUAAUGGGAUUAGUUUUUAGAUUAUUUAUAGUCUAUUAAUUCAAUCCCGGGGCGUUCUAUUAGUUAUGUAUAAUAAUAUUUAUAUUAUUUAUACCUCUAACUAGAGCGUACCUUGAGCAUAUAUGCUGUGACCCGAAAGAUGGUGAACUAUACUUGAUCAGGUUGAAGUCAGGGGAAA
rnacentral:rRNA from 1 species